GACAAUUUCUGUAUUUAAAGUGGAAGAGGGAGCCAUCUUGUUCUUCAUUACAUUAUCCUUGGGCCAGGCCCGUAGCCAGGAUUUUGGUUUGGGAGGGGCUGGGUGUUGUCAUGAAUACUUUUUGAACCUUAAAAUGUUUUUUUUUAAUCCACUUUCAGUCAGACAGAGUACAUCAGGCACUUUCAAAGAAAGAAAUAAGACACACAGACCCCAGUACUGGUUUUAUAAUAGCUAGCUAUAUUGGUUAUACAGACAAAUGGGAAGCAUCACACAUAUACUUAGCAUUCACUCACAUACAUUCAGAGACGGUUCACCCGUAAGGCAAUCUAGUCAUUUGCCUGGAGCGCCAACACUUGGGGGGCACACAUGAGGCGCCUCCAAGUGCCCUAAAGCCAACUUUUUGUUGGCGCGCGCUGCCGCUUCCGGCGGGAGGCUGUGGCUACUCCCCGUAGCCAAAAGCAUAGCACCGGCUCUCUGCUCGCAGGGGAAAGAGGAUUCUUCCUCCUCCUCUUCCCCUUUCUUGGGGAAAGUGCGGGCAGUGGAAGGAGAAGUGGUGCGUUAGGGAAGCCAGGCAGGAAGAAGGGCAAGUGGCUGUUCCUCCCUCCCUCCCUCCCUCCCUUCCUCUCUCUCUGUAGGUCUCUCUCUCUCUCUAUCCAUGAUGCCGCCAUUCCUUCCCCCUCCUGCCUUGUCUUCCUCCCCACCUCCAUGCCCACCUUUCCUGCCAUCAAAACGGAGAGUAAGGGGGAUCGCAUUCCUCUUCGAAUGGCUGCUGUUCGCGGGGGGGGGGGGGGGCUUUCUCUUUAUGCUGGUCUCCUUCCCUUCAUCUAAAAAAACCCCUCUCUUCCUUCUCUUGUGCACCUUGAUAUCUUGGGUUAUAUGGCACACAGUCAUAUAACCCAGAAUAUCAAGGCAGAUAAUCACAUUAUCUGCUUUGAACUGGAUUAUAUAGAAGUGUGCACUCAGAAAACCCAGUUCAAAGCCAUGAGGAAAGUCUCCUCCAAGGGAGGAGAGAGAAAAAGAUAUCCAACCUGCUGGGGAGAGGACUUUUCCGUCCCUUUCAAAGUUCAUAGGCAUUGUGUUUCCUCAAGCUUGCCUUUCCUCCUUUCCUCCCCUGCAGUUCUGGCUCUUUCUCUUGUUUUCCUUGAAAGAAAAAUGGAGGGUUCUAUCUUCUUGCAAAAGGAGAAAGGGAGGAAAGGGUCCGUGAGUGCAGGAUCGGGGGGGGGGGGGGCUGACAUGUUUCCAGGGCUCCAAACUACAGCUCCCAUCAUGCACAGCACUCUCCUGGUGCUCUACUUCCUCUUCGUAGCUUUACACCCACUGGAGAAGGAGAGGGUUGCAUGGUGCCAUUCACACGCAAACUAUGCUGUACCGACCUUGAGCCAUGAGAACAGGCAGAAAGAGAAAACCAAGAUGGUUUUGGAUUCUGCCCCUGUCUUCUGGAGUAUUGGCUACCCCUCCCAAUUUGGUGUCAUCUGCACACUUGAUGAUCAUGCCUUCUAACCCUUCAUCUAAGUCAUUAAUAAAGAUGUUGAACAGAACCAGGCCCAGGAUGGAACCCUGUGGCACUCCACUCAAGACUUCUUUCCAGGAUGAAGAAGACGCAUUGGUGAGCACCCUUUGGAUUCGUUCACUUAGCCAAUUGCAGAUCCACCUAAUUGUGCUUUUGCGUAGCCUACAUUUGACUAGUUUGUUUGCCAGAAGGUCAUGGGGGACCUUGUCGAAGGCCUUACUGAAAUCCAGAUACGCUACAUCCACGGCGUUCCCCGCAUCUACCCAGCUUGUAACUCUAUCGAAAAAAGAGAUCAGAUUAGUCUGGCAUGAUUUAAUCUCUUUUUCAUCCUGGCUCCAUCCUGGCAACAUGGUCAGAGGCAGCCUUGAGAACAUGGGUGACUAACUACCCAUGUUCUCAUUCACGAAGCUGGAAACAGUGUUGGAUGAAGCUGGAGGCAGCAGGGAAACAUGAGUCCAUCACAUGACACAGGUAAGGGGAUGAAAUGAUGUGCUGCUCCAUGGUUUCCCCCAUUGCCACAAGGAUUCCCCCACUGCCCCACUGAUUCCCCCUCUGUCCCUGGCUUAUGGACCUCCAGCUGAUGAGGUUCUAGGUCUUGCCACUAGCUGUUUCAGUGGAAGGUACAAAAAUCAACUCUAAAAGCAAGGUUUUUGGAGAUAUGAACCACACCUUGGUUAUAUUUUCAAAGAGAUUAACUAGCUGUCAAGGAACUGCCUUUCACGUCAUUCCUUUUGCUUCACUUGGUACUUUUUCUUCUGAUAUCAAAAUGUCAAGCAUUUAAUUGAUAUUAUUGCAAUUUUAUUGCCAGUUAGAAGAAGAGAAAGGUGCUCGGAGAAUCUUUGGGUAAUAAGCCUAAAUUAUUUAAUUGGCUUCAGGUACUGUGUACCAUGGCUUGGAUGAAGACUGAGACUUACAGUUGGCUGUACUGCCAGUGUGAAAGCUCAGAGUAGCGAGAAGUACAUUUGCACAAUUUUAAGACUUGUACGCCAGCAUUGUUCAUUGCUACAACCAUUAAUCAGGCCUUGAUGAUCCUUGCCUUAGCUAUGCCUGUUUGGUUUUCACUUUAUGAAAGUGAGAAAAAAUUUAUUGCAAAUCAUUGUUGUAGCUCUUUGAGUGGAUUGAACAAUUACCAUAUUGUCAUAUUCCUUUCUCUUUUAGAAACGUGGC
rnacentral:lncRNA from 1 species